CCGGCGACCGGCGCACGGGUGAGUAACACGUAUGAAACCUGCCCGUAGCAGGGGGAUAAGCGGAAGAAAUUCCGUCUAAUACCGCGUAACAACCCAUGGAGGCAUCUCUUGUGGGUUUAAAGGAAGCGAUUCCGGCUACGGAUGGUCAUGCGUCGCAUUAGCUUGUUGGCGGGGUAACGGCCCACCAAGGCGACGAUGCGUAGGGGUUCUGAGAGGAAGGCCCCCCACACUGGUACUGAGACACGGACCAGACUCCUACGGAAGGCAGCAG
rnacentral:rRNA from 1 species